UACGGGGGGGGCAAGCGUUGUUCGGAAUUACUGGGCGUAAAGGGCUCGUAGGCGGCCAACUAAGUCAGACGUGAAAUCCCUCGGCUUAACCGGGGAACUGCGUCUGAUACUGGAUGGCUUGAGUUUGGGAGAGGGAUGCGGAAUUCCAGGUGUAGCGGUGAAAUGCGUAGAGAUCUGGAGGAACACCAAAGGCGAAGGCAGCGUCCUGGGAAGCAUCUGACGCUCAGGUGCGAAAGCUAGGGGAGCGAACGGG
rnacentral:rRNA from 1 species